AUAAUAAAUACCAAUAAAGAAUGGGGCUGUAAUCACAUGAUAGAUAAUGAAAUAA
rnacentral:guide_RNA from 1 species